AGUGAACGCUGGCGGUAGGCCUAACACAUGCAAGUCGAACGGCAGCACAGUAAGAGCUUGCUCUUACGGGUGGCGAGUGGCGGACGGGUGAGGAAUACAUCGGAAUCUACUUUUUCGUGGGGGAUAACGUAGGGAAACUUACGCUAAUACCGCAUACGACCUACGGGUGAAAGCAGGGGAUCUUCGGACCUUGCGCGAUUGAAUGAGCCGAUGUCGGAUUAGCUAGUUGGCGGGGUAAAGGCCCACCAAGGCGACGAUCUGUAGCUGGUCUGAGAGGAUGAUCAGCCACACUGGAACUGAGACACGGUCCAGACUCCUACGGGAGGCAGCAGUGGGGAAUAUUGGACAAUGGGCGCAAGCCUGAUCCAGCCAUACCGCGUGGGUGAAGAAGGCCUUCGGGUUGUAAAGCCCUUUUGUUGGGAAAGAAAAGCAGCAGGUUAAUACCCCGCUGUUCUGACGGUACCCAAAGAAUAAUCACCGGCUAACUUCGUG
rnacentral:rRNA from 1 species